rnacentral:rRNA from 1 species
AUUGAACGCUGGCGGCAGGCCUAACACAUGCAAGUCGAACGGUAACAGGAAGAUGCUUGCUUCUUUCCGGACGGGUGGGGGGCGGGUGGGUAAUGUCUGGGAAACUGCCUGAGGGAGGGGGAUAACUACUGGAAACGGUAGCUAAUACCGCAUAACGUGGGAAGACCAAGGAGGGGCACCUCCGGGCCUCUUGCCUUCGCAUGUGCCCAGAUGGGAUUAGCUAGUAGGUGGGGUAACGGCUCACCUAGGCGACGAUCCCUAGCUGGUCUGAGAGGAUGACCAGCCACACUGGAACUGAGACACGGUCCAGACUCCUACGGGAGGCAGCAGUGGGGAAUAUUGCACAAUGGGCGAAAGCCUGAUGCAGCCAUGCCGCGUGUAUGAAGAAGGCCUUCGGGUUGUAAAGUACUUUCAGCGGGGAGGAAGGGAGUAAAGUUAAUACCUUUGCUCAUUGACGUUACCCGCAGAAGAAGCACCGGCUAACUCCGUG